rnacentral:lncRNA from 1 species
GAUUAGAAGAGCUAAAAUUUCAGUUAAAUGAUUAACAUUGUGAUAAGGUUAAUCAACUCGGGAUACGAUUUAGUCAUGUAUUAGCUUUCCUAACUUUGGAAGAAUUAGAGAAUUGAAGAUCUAAGCAGGUUGGGAGACAUUUAGAUUAUAAUUGGACAUUGAUGAUCUGUUGUUCCUAUCUGUUAUAGAAAUAUUGAGCAAUAGUUAAUGCU